CGCGUAGGCGGCUUGGUCAGUCAGGCGUGAAAUUCCUGGGCUCAACCUGGGGACUGCGCUUGAUACGGCCAGGCUUGAGGCCGAGAGAGGGUGGUGGAAUUCCCAGUGUAGAGGUGAAAUUCGUAGAUAUUGGGAAGAACACCGGUGGCGAAGGCGACCACCUGGCUCGGUACUGACGCUCAUAUGCGAAAGCGUGGGGAUCAAACAGGAUUAGAUACCCCAGUA
rnacentral:rRNA from 1 species